UGGGGAUUCGUCUAGCGGUAGGACGGCAGACUCUGGAUCUGCAAGCCCUGGUUCGAAUCCAGGAUCCCCAGCCA
rnacentral:tRNA from 1 species